rnacentral:rRNA from 1 species
AUGCAAGUCGAGCGAGAAAGGGCUUCGGCCCCGGUAAAGCGGCGCACGGGUGAGUAACACGUAGGUAAUCAACCCUCGAGUGGUGGACAACUCUCCGAAAGGAGAGCUAAUACAGCAUGACGAUGCGAUUUUCCGAAAUCGUAUCCAAAGCGGGCCUCUUCAUGAAAGCUCGCGCUUGGGGAUGAGCCUGCGGCCCAUCAGCUAGUUGGAGGGGUAACGGCCCACCAAGGCGAAGACGGGUAGCUGGUCUGAGAGGAUGAACAGCCACACUGGAACUGAGACACGGUCCAGACUCCUACGGGAGGCAGCAGUCGGGAAUCUUCCGCAAUGGGCGCAAGCCUGACGGGGCGACGCCGCGUAAGCGAUGAAGGCCUUCGGGUUGUAAAGCUCUGUGGGGAGGGAAGAAUAAGUUCAAGCCAACACCUUGAAUGAUGACGGUACCUCCUUAGCAAGCACCGGCUAACUCUGUGCCAGCAGCCGCGGUAAGACAGAGGGUGCAAACGUUGUUCGGAUUUACUGGGCGUAAAGCGCGUGUAGGCGGCUUUGCAAGUCGGAUGUGAAAGCCCACGGCUCAACCGUGGAAGUGCAUCCGAAACUGCAUGGCUGGAGUCCCGGAGAGGAAGGUGGAAUGCUUGGUGUAGAGGUGAAAUUCGUAGAUAUCAAGCAGAACACCUGCGGCGAAGGCGGCCUUCUGGACGGUGACUGACGCUGAGACGCGGAAGCGUGGGGAGCAAACAGGAUUAGAUACCCUGGUAGUCCACGCCGUAAACGAUGAGUGCUAGGUGUCACGGGCUUUGACCCUCGUGGUGCCGUAGCUAACGCAAUAAGCACUCCGCCUGGGGAGUACGGCCGCAAGGCUAAAACUCAAAUGAAUUGACGG